AGAGCGAACGCUGGCGGCGGGCUUAACACAUGCAAGUCGAGCGGGCGUAGCAAUACGUCAGCGGCAGACGGGUGAGUAACGCGUGGGAACGUACCUUUUGGUUCGGAACAACCCAGGGAAACUUGGGCUAAUACCGGAUAAGCCCUUACGGGGAAAGAUUUAUCGCCGAAAGAUCGGCCCGCGUCUGAUUAGCUAGUUGGUGAGGUAAUGGCUCACCAAGGCGACGAUCAGUAGCUGGUCUGAGAGGAUGAUCAGCCACAUUGGGACUGAGACACGGCCCAAACUCCUACGGGAGGCAGCAGUGGGGAAUAUUGGACAAUGGGCGCAAGCCUGAUCCAGCCAUGCCGCGUGAGUGAUGAAGGCCCUAGGGUUGUAAAGCUCUUUUGUGCGGGAAGAUAAUGACGGUACCGCAAGAAUAAGCCCGGCUAACUUCGUGCCAGCAGCCGC
rnacentral:rRNA from 1 species